rnacentral:rRNA from 1 species
GAUGAACGCUGGCUACAGGCUUAACACAUGCAAGUCGAGGGGAAACGACGGGGAAGCUUGCUUCCCCGGGCGUCGACCGGCGCACGGGUGAGUAACGCGUAUCCAACCUGCCUCUGACUGAGGGAUAACCCGUCGAAAGUCGGCCUAAUACCCCAUGGCAUCGUCUGCGGGCAUCCAACGACGAUUAAAGAUUUCCUCGGUCAGGGAUGGGGAUGCGUCUGAUUAGCUUGUUGGCGGGGUAACGGCCCACCAAGGCUACGAUCAGUAGGGGUUCUGAGAGGAAGGUCCCCCACAUUGGAACUGAGACACGGUCCAAACGCCUACGGGAGGCAGCAGUGAGGAAUAUUGGUCAAUGGGCGGGAGCCUGAACCAGCCAAGUAGCGUGCAGGAUGACGGCCCUAUGGGUUGUAAACUGCUUUUAUGCGGGGAUAAAGUGAGGGACGUGUCCUUCAUUGCAGGUACCGCAUGAAUAAGGACCGGCUAAUUCCGU